rnacentral:rRNA from 1 species
AGAGUUUGAUCCUGGCUCAGGAUGAACGCUAGCGACAGGCUUAACACAUGCAAGUCGAGGGGCAGCAUGAUUUGUAGCAAUACAGAUUGAUGGCGACCGGCGCACGGGUGAGUAACGCGUAUGCAACUUGCCUAUCAGAGGGGGAUAACCCGGCGAAAGUCGGACUAAUACCGCAUGAAGCAGGGGCCCCGCAUGGGGAUAUUUGCUAAAGAUUCAUCGCUGAUAGAUAGGCAUGCGUUCCAUUAGGCAGUUGGCGGGGUAACGGCCCACCAAACCGACGAUGGAUAGGGGUUCUGAGAGGAAGGUCCCCCACAUUGGUACUGAGACACGGACCAAACUCCUACGGGAGGCAGCAGUGAGGAAUAUUGGUCAAUGGCCGAGAGGCUGAACCAGCCAAGUCGCGUGAAGGAAGAAGGAUCUAUGGUUUGUAAACUUCUUUUAUAGGGGAAUAAAGUGGAGGACGUGUCCUUUUUUGUAUGUACCCUAUGAAUAAGCAUCGGCUAACUCCGUGCCAGCAGCCGCGGUAAUACGGAGGAUGCGAGCGUUAUCCGGAUUUAUUGGGUUUAAAGGGUGCGUAGGUGGUGAUUUAAGUCAGCGGUGAAAGUUUGUGGCUCAACCAUAAAAUUGCCGUUGAAACUGGGUUACUUGAGUGUGUUUGAGGUAGGCGGAAUGCGUGGUGUAGCGGUGAAAUGCAUAGAUAUCACGCAGAACUCCGAUUGCGAAGGCAGCUUACUAAACCAUAACUGACACUGAAGCACGAAAGCGUGGGGAUCAAACAGGAUUAGAUACCCUGGUAGUCCACGCAGUAAACGAUGAUUACUAGGAGUUUGCGAUACAAUGUAAGCUCUACAGCGAAAGCGUUAAGUAAUCCACCUGGGGAGUACGCCGGCAACGGUGAAACUCAAAGGAAUUGACGGGGGCCCG